GACGAACGCUGGCGGCGUGCUUAACACAUGCAAGUCGAACGGAAAGGCCCCUUUGGGGGUACUCGAGUGGCGAACGGGUGAGUAACACGUGAGUAACCUGCCCUUGACUUCGGGAUAACUUCAGGAAACUGGGGCUAAUACCGGAUAGGAAUCCUUGCUGCAUGGUGGGGGUUGGAAAGCUUCGGCGGUUUUGGAUGGACUCGCGGCUUAUCAGCUUGUUGGUGGGGUAGUGGCUUACCAAGGCUUUGACGGGUAGCCGGCCUGAGAGGGCGACCGGCCACAUUGGGACUGAGAUACGGCCCAGACUACUACGGGAGGCAGCAGUGGGGAAUAUUGCACAAUGGGCGGAAGCCUGAUGCAGCAACGCCGCGUGCGGGAUGACGGCCUUCGGGUUGUAAACCGCUUUCAGCAGGGGCGAAGCUUGUGGUGACGGUACCUGCAGAAGAAGCACCGGCUAACUACGUG
rnacentral:rRNA from 1 species